rnacentral:rRNA from 1 species
GAUGAACGCUGGCGGCGUGCUUAACACAUGCAAGUCGAACGGUGAACGAGGGAGCUUGCUCCCUCCGGAUCAGUGGCGAACGGGUGAGUAACACGUGAGCAAUCUGCCCUGGACUCUGGGAUAAGCGUUGGAAACGACGUCUAAUACCGGAUACGAGGCGUGGGGGCAUCCCCAACGCCUGGAAAGAACUUCGGUCCAGGAUGAGCUCGCGGCCUAUCAGCUAGUUGGUGAGGUAACGGCUCACCAAGGCGACGACGGGUAGCCGGCCGGAGAGGGUGACCGGCCACACUGGGACUGGGACACGGCGCAGACUCCUACGGGAGGCAGGAGUGGGGAAUAUUGCACAAUGGGCGCAAGCCUGAUGCAGCAACGCCGCGUGAGGGACGACGGCCUUCGGGUUGUAAACCUCUUUUAGCAGGGAAGAAGCGAAAGUGACGGUACCUGCAGAAAAAGCACCGGCUAACUACGUGCCAGCCGCCGCAGUAAGAC